UUGACCAACUGAGUGGUGGCCAAACUUUUGAAGAAAUUAUUCAGUCUUUAAAACCAUAACAUGGAAAUAUUCCUGAUCAGGAUAUAGAUAUCAUCUCUUAGCCAGCCUAGCCUUCACAAAGCAUCAGUUUACAGACAAGCUGGGAGAAAGAUUCAUGAGGAAUAAACAGAAUACUGUACAGAAAAUGGUAGUUAUGGGACGAGACAGUCCAGCUCUCCUGGGCCUCUGAAGUGCCUACACAUCUUGCUGAGUGUGCCAAGACUGCAAGGCCUAAUUAGGGCUUUGCCUGAGCCACUUCUCAGCAUUUAUAUCACUAGUAAGCUUGGGGACGAGAAGCAGGUUUGCUGUAAAAGUGUUGGAUUCCUUGCACUCUUUUGGUCAGCUGUGACACAGACCGCUGCAUGCUUGGCAUUCAUCCAGGCCUGCGGUGUUGCCUGUGGGAACUGACAUAAAUAUGCUGACACUCCCUCUGCGUGCUGCACACCCUGAGUGACAGAGGCCUUUGCCUGUGAUCAAGGAUCCUGUGUCUUCUGUCAGCAUUCACAAAACUGACAGGCUAACUUACUGGGUAAAAUCAAACCUCAGACCUGAUUGUUUCAGCAGCAAGGAUUGGAAUGCUGACAGAGACACACUUUUCUGGAAGGUGAACCAUCAGGCCAGGUUGGGAAUAUUCGAUUCCCUGGAAUCAGUCUGGUAGUCAAUGCUGUCACUCUAGAUAGAUUAAAGAUGGGGGGAGGAUAAGUGUUCCUAGCUUUUACUGAACAGGAGUUGAGUUAAUGUUUACAGGCUGAAUGGUAGAAAUAGGGUUGAAACAAGCUGUCCGAAUGUGCCUUGAUUGUUGCUGACUCUGGCAUGCAGACAGGAAGGAAUGUUUUCAUGACAAAGGGCCAGCAGUUCCUGUGAGGGACAGAAGGUGCCGAGGACUACAGAGUGGGGCACGUGAAGAAGAAAGGAGCCCCUAGACUGUAGUUUGCUCUGAUACUGGCAGGCAUCAGCACUGCCAUGGGAGACAGAGUUGUGCAGAUCUUCAGGCACUGGCAGGGAGCAAGGGGUGGGGGAGGGGGAAAGACCGAAACAAUUCCGUUUCCCCCCCAGCAGCCCACCUCCCCCACCCCUGGCUUCCUUACCCUCUCAGCUAAGGAACAAGGUGAUGUGGCAUCCGUUUGCCACCUUUUGUUACGUAGCUCCUGACUCAUGCAGUUUAGACUCUUCAGCUCGGAAAAGGGCAUUUCUCCUUAGUGCAGAAGGGAGGCUUCCCUUGUGGUGGAGCUCUUUGGCUGAUUGAGCGUCACACUGCUCCCAGCUCCUAAGGUCUAAUGGAAUUGACGUGUUAUGUGCCCACAGGUCCCUGUCUAAGUGUCAGCGGGGCUGUUCUUAUUUAGGGACUGCUGCAUGCCUCAAGGUGAGAGUGGGGCCUGAGUCCCUCCCCAUUCUGCUUUGUCUCUCUCCUCUCUGGUGGUCCAGCUGUUUCGGUGCAAUACAGAAGUCCAACAAGAGAAAGGGAAAUCACUGCUUUUGUUAAAGACUUGGUAGCAGCCCACGUACUCAAGCCAUUUCCCAGCAUAACAUUGCAGCCUGCCUGACCCAGCCACCCAGCACUCCAGUUGGCUCCUAGCCUCUUCCUGAAACUGAACGCCUGACCCCUGGAGGCCUGGGAGUCACUGAUGUGACGUCUCUACUCUGGGGUGGGUUGCCUGGCAACCAACAGGGACCCAACAGGCCUUGCAAGUCAAACAAAUGCUUCCAUUGCCCCAUUCUGGACACCUUGGGUUGACUUUACAGAUGUGCUACCCAUCACAGAAUUUGGGACCACUCCUGACAGAUUUUCAAAUCAUGGACUGUCUUCUCAAAAGAUGAAUUUCUAUCAUUGAGAACAAAGUAAUCUACUCAUUUCAUAGACUGACCCUAAAAGAUUUCCCCACCAACUUAUCUUCUUACAAUGUGUGUAUUUUUAUAAGCUACCUCAACACCGAUGUGGAACCAGGUGAAAAGCAAAUGAAUUGGUGAGUAAAUCUCGUUGGAAGGGCGGUCAGCAGUUCGUGGGAGCAACUGCAUAGAAUCUGACUUUCUAACUCAUUGAACCACAGUGAGAUUUCCUCUGGGUUUUCCUAAGAGGAGCAAAUGCUUAUUGUCAGUGAGUUCACUGCCUCCAGGAAGCAAGUGUUGGCCCAACUGGUAACAGAACAGAUUCAAUUACAACAUAGUCAGGAGACGUUGAAAUAGAAGUAAAAUAAAUUUUACAGAGAAAGUUACAUUUCUUGCACACAAUUUGUGAACUAAAUGUGGAACUCACUCUCCGCAACAAAAUGAGUUUGUUGUGCCUGACAGAGGACAGUUGGGUUAACUGUCUUGGGAGACUCGGGAGCAGGCCUCUCAGAGGCAAGUUUGCUGGCCCAACGGAGUAGCCAAAGGUCCCCAAAUUCUCUAGCUUGUUAAAAGUGUGUGGAUUCCCCCUCAUAUGUAAGUUGACUUCAAAAUUCAUCCAAGAGAACGUCUCACAAAUAAUUUCUAUCUUCUUAUUCCAUAGGAAGAUUUUUCCACACAAAAAAGAAUGAACUUAAUAAUGAGAUGAAAAUAUAUUUCAGAGGUGAAUGACAACGGAUGCUAAAGAGGUUUACUUACAAAUAAUCCCAGGAGAAUGUAAUUCGCAGGCACCUG